rnacentral:rRNA from 1 species
GGACGAACGCUGGCGGCGUGCUUACCACAUGCAAGUCGAACGGAAAGGCCCUGCUUGCAGGGUGCUCGAGUGGCGAACGGGUGAGUAACACGUGGGUGAUCUGCCCCUUACUUUGGGAUAAGCCUGGGAAACUGGGUCUAAUACUGGAUAGGACCAUGCUGUAGGUGGUGUGGUGGAAAGAUUAGUUUCGGUAAGGGAUGAGCUCGCGGCCUAUCAGCUUGUUGGUGGGGUAAUGGCCUACCAAGGCGUCGACGGGUAGCCGGCCUGAGAGGGUGGACGGCCACAUUGGGACUGAGAUACGGCCCAGACUCCUACGGGAGGCAGCAGUGGGGAAUAUUGCACAAUGGGCGCAAGCCUGAUGCAGCGACGCCGCGUGGGGGAUGACGGCCUUCGGGUUGUAAACUCCUUUCAGCCAUGACGAAGCCCUUGUGGUGACGGUAGUGGCAGAAGAAGCACCGGCUAACUACGUG